UUUUAAAAAUCAAUUGUUGAUAUUUUUAGUUUUUAUGAUAAUAAUUAAAAAGAAGAAAAAUAAAGAAAAAUAAAAAGAAGAAAUAGAUAAAAUAAGAAAAAAGAAAGAAGAAAUAAAUGAAUGGAGAAACAAAUAAUAGGAGUAAAAAUUAAAAUAUUAGAGAGAUGAAAAAAAUGAAGAAAGACAUAAAAAAAAUAUAUGAAGAAAUAAAAAGAGAAGUCAUUAAAAAAAAGAUAAU
rnacentral:lncRNA from 1 species